CACAGGAAAAAUAGGAGAGUAAUUUUUUCGGAGUUAACAUCAUUUUCAUCUAAAAGAGUCCUGUUUAUACAUUAAAGAGUGAAAUCAUUUCCAUUGGUCAAUAGAAUCGGAGUAAAAAAAUAGAGGAAAUUAUAUCGGAGUAAAACAAGAACACGCCCACUGAAGUUCCUUAAGUUUCGUUUCUUCCACCAUCUUGUUAUCCUGCAGUGGAAACGGAGGCAACGAUUAGCUGUGUGCCAGGAUGCAAGCUGUGCGUGUCAAAUACAGAGAUCGACAGAAAUACAUCUGUUUUGAAGGCCAACUGACUUACAGUUCGUUUUUGGAAUGUGCUGCAAAAAAGUUCAGCAUCCCAACCUUGGACUUAAAAGUCUUUGAUGACUCAAAGACUGAAGUGGAUGAGGAUGUUUUUGAGCUCCUUUUGAAAGGUCCGAACCUUGGUGUGCUAGAGAUUUGUGAAGCACAAAAUCUCAAUUCAGAAGAUAAUCCUAUGGAUCAGCUAAGUUGUGCAGCAAGCAGCUCCUUUACCAGUUCCAGUGGAGAAACUGAAGUGGAGUCCGAUGACACCAUUAUAUUGCAACACAGUCCUGCAACAAGACAGAGAGCUGAAGACACCUCUCUUGCCCACAUGAUUGAAAAUGUUCUAAAGAACAAACCAGGAGGAGACAGGAUCAUCAAUGAAUAUGCGCGGACAAAAAGCCUAACAGACGGCGUGACAUGGUCAAGAUAUUGGUUGCGCAUAUGACAAGUGAACAUGGGACAAGUCCUUCCAGAUGUGUAAAAGAAGACUAUGCAAAGGGUAUUAUUACCUUGUUCCCUUACUUGGCUGAUCCUAAGAGCAGAUUUGGCUAUAGUUCAUCGUUCCAGUGUUGGGCUACUACAGCUUGAAGCAUAAACAUUGUGAAGAGAUUUUAUCUAUGUAAUUCAAACAAUGUGAAAUAAAAUCUGUAAAUCACAGCUACUAGCAUUCACGGUUGUCUUUGCUUUCACAGCUUUAAAAACAUUUAUCAUUCACCUACUUUUAGGAGCAUUAUUAUAAUGCAGAAGAUGGAAGUGGGUAUCUGGCUUGGAGACUGAAGUUUGUCCAGAGGGAAGCUUCUAAUGGACAAAAGAAGGUCCCCAGACUGUCACGAACCCAAACAGGGGGACCAACAACUGAUAGAGACUAUUUGAGAGAAGAAGACUGCCUUAUGACAGAUAGCUUGUGUUCUGAGGCCAUUGCGCUGCUGAUGAAGGAACUGUUAUGAGGAAGAUGAAACAGACUUUCAACUAUCGCCAGAAGAUGAUUCAUGACCCAGUGAAGUCAUCUAGUAUCUUUUUGGACUUCCCAAGAUUCCUGGACGUAGGAGGAUUGGUUGAGCAAGAUUUUACAUUGAUGUUUGGGGAAGCCAUCUCUGCAAAGUUCCUGGAGAAGUGGCCCACUG